GACGAACGCUGGCGGCGUGCUUAACACAUGCAAGUCGAACGGAAAGGCCCUGCUUUUGUGGGGUGCUCGAGUGGCGAACGGGUGAGUAACACGUGAGUAACCUUCCCUUGACUUUGGUAUAACUUCAGGAAACUGGGGCUAAUACCUGAUAGGAGCUCCUGCUGCAUGGUGUGGGUUGGAAAGUUUCGGCGGUUGGGGAUGGACUCGCGGCUUAUCAGCUUGUUGGUGGGGUAGUGGCUUACCAAGGCUUUGACGGGUAGCCGGCCUGAGAGGGUGACCGGCCACAUUGGGACUGAGAUACGGCCCAGACUCCUACGGGAGGCAGCAGUGGGGAAUAUUGCACAAUGGGCGGAAGCCUGAUGCAGCAACGCAGCGUGCGGGAUGACGGCCUUCGGGUUGUAAACCGCUUUCGCCUGUGACGAAGCGUGAGUGACGGUAAUGGGUAAAGAAGCACCGGCUAACUACGUG
rnacentral:rRNA from 1 species